GACGAACGCUGGCGGCGUGCUUAACACAUGCAAGUCGAACGGUAAGGCCCUUCGGGGUACACGAGUGGCGAACGGGUGAGUAACACGUGGGUGAUCUGCCCUGCACUUCGGGAUAAGCCUGGGAAACUGGGUCUAAUACCGGAUAGGACCACUGCCUGCAUGGGUGGUGGUGGAAAGCUUUUGCGGUGUGGGAUGGGCCCGCGGCCUAUCAGCUUGUUGGUGGGGUGAUGGCCUACCAAGGCGACGACGGGUAGCCGGCCUGAGAGGGUGACCGGCCACACUGGGACUGGGAUACGGACCAGACUCCUACGGGGGGCAGCAGUGGGGAAUAUUGCCCAAUGGGCGCAAGCCUGAUGCAGCGACGCCGCGUGAGGGAUGACGGCCUUCGGGUUGUAAACCUCUUUCAGCACCGACGAAGCGCAAGUGACGGUAGGUGCAGAAGAAGGACCGGCCAACUACGUGCCAGCCGCCGCGGUAA
rnacentral:rRNA from 1 species